AGCUUUGUGCAGUGGCAGUAUUGUAGCCAAUGAGGUUUAUCCGAGGCGCGAUUAUUGCUAAUUAAAAAAAUAAUAAAAUGGGGGUGCCUGGGUGGCUCAGUCAGUUAAGCGUCUGCCCUUGGCUCGGGUCA
rnacentral:snRNA from 1 species